rnacentral:rRNA from 1 species
UACGUAGGGGGGCUAGCGUUGUCCGGAAUCAUUGGGCGUAAAGAGCGUGUAGGCGGCCCGGUAAGUCCGCUGUGAAAGUCGGGGGGCUCAACCCUCGAAUGCCGGUGGAUACUGUCGGGCUAGAGUGCGGAAGAGGCGAGUGGAAUUCCUGGUGUAGCGGUGAAAUGCGCAGAUAUCAGGAGGAACACCGAUUGCGAAGGCAGCUCGCUGGGACGUAACUGACGCUGGAGAACGCGAAAAGCGUGGGGGAGCAAACAGG